AGAGUUUGAUCCUGGCUCAGGAUGAACGCUAGCGGCAGGCUUAAUACAUGCAAGUCGAGGGGCAGCGCGGUAGCAAUACUGGCGGCGACCGGCAAACGGGUGCGGAACACGUACGCAACUUACCCCUAACUAAAGGAUAGCCCAGAGAAAUUUGGAUUAACCCUUUAUAGUACAACUGGACUGCAUGGUUUGGUUGUUAA
rnacentral:rRNA from 1 species